CAGAGGGGGCAAGCGUUGUUCGGAAUUACUGGGCGUAAAGGGCGCGUAGGCGGCCUGCUAAGUCGAACGUGAAAUCCCUGGGCUCAACCCAGGAACUGCGUCCGAUACUGGUUGGCUUGAAUCCGGGAGAGGGAUGUGGAGUUCCAGGUGUAGCGGUGAAAUGCGUAGAUAUCUGGAGGAACACCGGUGGCGAAGGCGACAUCCUGGACCGGUAUUGACGCUGAGGCGCGAAAGCCAGGGGAGCAAACGGGAUUAGAUACCCCGGUAGUCCUGGCCCUAAACGAUGAAUGCUUGGUGUGGCGGGUAUCGAUCCCUGCCGUGCCGAAGCUAACGCAUUAAGCAUUCCGCCUGGGGAGUACGGUCGCGAGGCUG
rnacentral:rRNA from 1 species